rnacentral:rRNA from 1 species
UACCAGCACCCCGAGUGGUCGGGACGAUUAUUGGGCCUAAAGCAGCCGUAGCCGGUUUUACAAGUCCUCCGUUAAAUCCAGCUGCUUAACAGAUGGGCUGCGGAGGAUACUAUAAGACUAGGAGGCAGGAGAGGCAAGCGGUACUCAGUGGGUAGGGGUAAAAUCCGUUGAUCCAUUGAAGACCACCAGUGGCGAAGGCGGCUUGCCAGAAUGCGCUCGACGGUGAGGGAUGAAAGCUGGGGGAGCAAACCGG